GAUGAACGCUGGCGGCGUGCCUAAUACAUGCAAGUCGAGCGAACAGACGAGGAGCUUGCUCCUCUGACGUUAGCGGCGGACGGGAGAGUAACACGUGGUUAACCUACCUAUAAGACUGGGAUAACUUCGGGAAACCGGAGCUAAUACCGGAUAAUAUAUUGAACCGCAUGGUUCAAUAGUGAAAGAAGGUUUUGCUGUCACUUAUAGAUGGAUCCGCGCCGCAUUCGCUAGUUGGUAAGGUAACGGCUUACCAAGGCAACGAUGCGUAGCCGACCUGAGAGGGUGAUCGGACACACGGGAACUGAGACACGGUCCAGACUCCUACGGGAGGAAGCAGUAGGGAAUCUUCCGCAAUGGGCGAAAGCUUGACGGAGCAACGCCGCGUGAGUGAUGAAGGUCUUCGGAUCGUAAAACUCUGUUAUUAGGGAAGAACAAAUGUGUAAGUAACUAUGCACGUAUUGACGGUACCGAAUCAGAAAGCCACGGCUAACUACGUG
rnacentral:rRNA from 1 species